UACGUAGGGGGCAAGCGUUGUCCGGAUUUAUUGGGCGUAAAGAGCGUGUAGGCGGCCAAACAGGUCAGCUGUGAAAACUCGAGGCUCAACCUCGAGACGCCGAUGGAAACCGCAUGGCUAGAGUCCGGAAGAGGAGAGUGGAAUUCCUGGUGUAGCGGUGAAAUGCGCAGAUAUCAGGAAGAACACCCGUGGCUAAGGCGGCUCUCUAGUACGGUACUGACGCUGAGACGCGAAAGCGUGGGGAGCGAACAGG
rnacentral:rRNA from 1 species